rnacentral:rRNA from 1 species
AACGAACGCUGGCGGCAUGCCUAACACAUGCAAGUCGAACGAUGCCUUCGGGCAUAGUGGCGCACGGGUGCGUAACGCGUGGGAAUCUGCCUUUCGGUUCGGAAUAACUCAGGGAAACUUGAGCUAAUACCGGAUAACGUCGCAAGACCAAAGAUUUAUCACCGAAAGAUGAGCCCGCGUAGGAUUAGCUAGUUGGUGAGGUAAAGGCUCACCAAGGCGACGAUCCUUAGCUGGUCUGAGAGGAUGAUCAGCCACACUGGGACUGAGACACGGCCCAGACUCCUACGGGAGGCAGCAGUGGGGAAUAUUGGACAAUGGGCGAAAGCCUGAUCCAGCAAUGCCGCGUGAGUGAUGAAGGCCUUAGGGUUCUAAAGCUCUUUUACCCGGGAAGAUAAUGACGGUACCGGGAGAAUAAGCCCCGGCUAACUCCGUG